rnacentral:ncRNA from 1 species
GGCAAAAAAAAAAUUGGGGGCGCUGCCCCCCUGCGUGCAAAGAAUAUAGCACAUACCCAACAGGGAAUUCGUGUGACGACUAGGCUACAAAUGUAUAAUUUCCCCUUGUGGUGGAUUUUCCCUAGGUGAGAUGAAUAGUCGACUCAUAACUGUUAUGGAUAAGGGGAAUCUGACUAUUUAAUUAAAACAAAGAGUUAUGAUGGUCCCUUUGGAUGCUGAUGCAAUGCGAUUUCUGUUGAGUUCUCUAAAUGUCAAAGUGAAUAAAUUCAACCAAGCAUGGGUAAACAAUGAGAGUAAUUAUGACUCUUUUAAGGUAGCCAAAUGUCUCGUCAUCUAAUUAGUGACACACAUGAAUGGAUUAACGAGAUUCCCAUUU